UACGGGGGGGGCAAGCGUUGUUCGGAAUUACUGGGCGUAAAGGGCUCGUAGGUGGCCAACUAAGUCAUACGUGAAAUCCCUCAGCUUAACUGGGGAACUGCGCCUGAUACUGGCUGGCCUGAGUUUGGGAGAGGGACGCGGAAUUCCAGGUGUAGCGGUGAAAUGCGUAGAUAUCUGGAGGAACACCCGUGGCGAAAGCGGCUCUCUGGAACGGUACUGACGCUGAGACGCGAAAGCGUGGGGAGCGAACAGG
rnacentral:rRNA from 1 species